UACAGAGGGUGCGAGCGUUAAUCGGAAUUAUUGGGCGUAAAGCGCACGUAGUCGGCUUUGCAAGUCGGUUGUGAAAUCCCCGGGCUCAACCUGGGAACUGCAUCCGAGACUGCAUUGCUAGAGUAUGGGAGAGGGAAGCGGAAUUUCUGGUGUAGCAGUGAAAUGCGUAGAUAUCAGAAGGAACAUCAGUGGCGAAGGCGGCUUCCUGGACCAAUACUGACGAUCAGGUGCGAAAGCGUGGGGAGCAAACAGG
rnacentral:rRNA from 1 species